rnacentral:lncRNA from 1 species
UUCAAACUUAGGCCUGUCUAGUCCAAAGCCCAGGUUCUUGCCAUGAGGCUGCACUGCCUCAAGAUUCCACCCAGAGAAGUCAGAGACAGACAAGUCUGAAGGCCAGUCAUCUCAUCUGUGGUCCUUCAUAAUUACUACCCAAAGCAAAGAGAAGAAAGAAACAGCAAGGGCAGAAUGAGGUUGGCGAUUCAAUUCCAGUGACUUGAUUUUAUGGUGGCUUCCAUUCUUCUUUCCUUUUUUCUUUUUGAGGACAUGUGGUCUGAAUGAUUCUAAACCCUUGGCAACAAACAGAUCAGAUUACUCCUUCCUCUAGCCACCAUUUCCCUCUUUACAAAGUUGACGUGUCACACUCCAGCCUGGGUGACAGAGCGAGACUCAAAAAAAAAAAAAAAAGUGUAGAGCUCAGUGAAUUAU